rnacentral:rRNA from 1 species
UAGGCCCUACGGGGGGCAGCAGUAGGGAAUUUUCGUCAAUGGGCGCAAGCCUGAACGAGCAAUGCCGCGUGAACGAGGAAGGUCUUCGGAACGUAAAGUUCUGUUGAAGGGGAAAAAGAGCGGAGAGAGGAAAUGAACUCCGAUUGCUAUUACCCUUCGAGGAAGUCACGGCUAACUACGUGCCAGCAGCCGCGGUAAUACGUAGGUGGCGAGCGUUAUCCGGAAUGAUUGGGCGUAAAGGGUGCGUAGGCGGCCUGCUAAGUCUGGAGUGAAAGGUACCGGCUCAACCGGUACAGGCUCUGGCA